UAGGGAAUCUUCGGCAAUGGACGAAAGUCUGACCGAGCAACGCCGCGUGAGUGAAGAAGGUUUUCGGAUCGUAAAACUCUGUUGUUAGAGAAGAACAAGGACGUUAGUAACUGAACGUCCCCUGACGGUAUCUAACCAGAAAGCCACGGCUAACUACGUGCCAGCAGCCGCGGUAAUACGUAGGUGGCAAGCGUUGUCCGGAUUUAUUGGGCGUAAAGCGAGCGCAGGCGGUUUCUUAAGUCUGAUGUGAAAGCCCCCGGCUCAACCGGGGAGGGUCAUUGGAAACUGGGGGAGUUGAGUGCAGAAGAGGGGAGUGGGAUUCCAUGUGUGGCGGUGAGCUGCGUAGAUAUAUGGAGAAACACCAGUGGCGAAGGCGGCUCUCUGGUCUGUAACUGACGCUGAGGCUCGAAGGCGUGGGGAGCAAACAGG
rnacentral:rRNA from 1 species